UACGUAGGGUGCAAGCGUUAUCCGGAAUUAUUGGGCGUAAAGAGCUCGUAGGCGGUUUGUCGCGUCUGCUGUGAAAACUGGAGGCUCAACCUCCAGCCUGCAGUGGGUACGGGCAGACUAGAGUGCGGUAGGGGAGAUUGGAAUUCCUGGUGUAGCGGUGGAAUGCGCAGAUAUCAGGAGGAACACCGAUGGCGAAGGCAGAUCUCUGGGCCGUAACUGACGCUGAGACGUGAAAGCGUGGGGAGCAAACAGG
rnacentral:rRNA from 1 species